CCGAGUUUACAACUCCCAAACCCCAUGUGAACCUUACCAAAACGUUGCUUCGGCGGGAUGCCCCGGGCGCGGGCCGCAAGGCCUCAGCCCCGGAACCAGGCGCCCGCCGGAGGCCCAAACCAAACUCUUGUCUUUACAGAAUCUUCUGAGUCAAUGAUUAAAUCAAUCA
rnacentral:misc_RNA from 1 species